rnacentral:rRNA from 1 species
GAUGAACGCUGGCUACAGGCUUAACACAUGCAAGUCGAGGGGAAACGACGGGGAAGCUUGCUUCCCCGGGCGUCGACCGGCGCACGGGUGAGUAACGCGUAUCCAACCUGCCUCUGACUGAGGGAUAACCCGUCGAAAGUCGGCCUAAUACCUCAUGGCAUCGUCUGCGGGCAUCCAACGACGAUUAAAGAUUUCAUCGGUCAGGGAUGGGGAUGCGUCUGAUUAGCUUGUUGGCGGGGUAACGGCCCACCAAGGCGACGAUCAGUAGGGGUUCUGAGAGGAAGGUCCCCCACAUUGGAACUGAGACACGGUCCAAACUCCUACGGGAGGCAGCAGUGAGGAAUAUUGGUCAAUGGACGCAAGUCUGAACCAGCCAAGUAGCGUGCAGGAUGACGGCCCUAUGGGUUGUAAACUGCUUUUAUGUGGGAAUAAAUUGGCGCACGUGUGCGCCAUUGCAUGUACCUCAUGAAUAAGGACCGGCUAAUUCCGUGCCAGCAGCCGCGGUAAUACGGAAGGUCCGGGCGUUAUCCGGAUUUAUUGGGUUUAAAGGGAGUGUAGGCGGUCUGUUAAGCGUGUUGUGAAAUUUAGGUGCUCAACAUUUAACUUGCAGCGCGAACUGUCAGACUUGAGUACACGCAGCGCAGGCGGAAUUCAUGGUGUAGCGGUGAAAUGCUUAGAUAUCAUGAGGAACUCCGAUCGCGAAGGCAGCCUGCGGGAGUGUUACUGACGCUUAAGCUCGAAGGUGCGGGUAUCGAACAGG